CCCCAAGGCCAGUCCCUUGGCUGGGCUGGGUGUGUGUGGUCCUCGGAAUGCAUCUGUCCACCACACAUAUAUUCCUAAUAAAGGGCUCGUUUGGCUUGUCACAUCCAUGCAGAAGGGCAAUGAAGUCUACACCUAGAAAGUAAAUGUGUUAUGUGGCCCUUCCUCUUCCAGAGGUUGAGGGUGGACAGGGCAGUGUCUACGGGGUACUCACCAUGAGUCUUGCCCUUCACUUACUUUAAACCAUCUGCUUCUCACACAUGUCCUGGGAGGCAGGUAACGUUUCCCAUUCCCAGGUAAGAAAAUGGAGGUUGAGAGAAGUUGUGCACGUUGCUCAAGAGCUCACAGCUUAUGUGGAGGCAGAGGCCCUUCUUGAACCCAGAUCCACUGCCUGAACAAUCCCAUAUUCCUGCCCUCACACACCUUUUCCACGGAGAGGCUCCUUGCUCUCGGUUCAUAAUAGGACAGUUGCACAAGUUAUUGACCAAAAUUAGUUGGAAAUUUUGAAAUUGGAUCUAGGUCACUCACUGAAGGCUGAUUUGUCUCUUCAAAGAAAGGGGCCAGUGUCUCCAGUGUGACUUUGAGUCAUAUAGGUCAUAAGCUGACUCACAGUUACAGGGCCCUCUCCCAGGUGUUUCUGAGAAAAGAGCUUCCAGAGCAGAAGUUGCUUUGCAGACCCAUCAGAGCUCAGGGAGCAUCAGCAAUGAGAUGGAGGCAGACUAGAUAUUUCCUGGGGGUAGGGGCAAGAGAGAGAAGAGGUGGUCUGGGGGGAUACCAGGAUAUUUCAUGGCAGGGGCUAAGAUGCCUGCUGCUUCUCCAUUGUUCUAGGGCAUCAUCAUUGCCACCUAGCUGGAAUUUUGUCCAAAGUCAACUGCAUUCUGGGAAAAGAACUUGCAAAAUCCCUCUCAGAAGGAGGCUUGGAGCCUCCUCCAGUCCGGUCUGUAACUUGCUUUAGAAACCAUCCUCCUGGGCCCCCAGGUGUGCCUUCUGCUCCUGGACGUUUGACCAGGCCUCAGUUCUUUGGAUAGAUUAGUAGUUCAUCUGAGCCUAUAGUGGGUUAAAAGCCAAAUUUUCUGCAUUGCAUCUUCCCCUGAGCAGCAGCUAUGGUGUUAAGGAACCCUCUUCUUGGCUGAAUUAAGUCCUUCAAGACAUGUGGCCAUUCAACUCUAUACACUCUACAGAGUAGGAUAAUAUUAUGGCCGUUUCUUUGAGUAAUCGUCUGAAUUUGUAAACUGUAGGCACUGAUCCAAUAGUGGGGCAUGCCCAGCACUAAUAAAAUAAAAUAAGGUAGAAGGUAUUAGAAUCAGGAAGCAUCACAUGCAGGAUGAGCAAGUUUGUUUCAUGAACCUUCUAUUUCAGUUGCAUGGGUGAGUGUGUGUGUGUGUGUGUGUGUAUCCAGGGUGUGUCAGAGGUGGCUGACUGGCUGCCAGAUCUGUGCUCCCCUCUCGGAGAAUACGUGUGUCCCGAGGGAGGGGGUGGGCUCCUGGAGUGACCAUCUCCAGACCCUUGCUCUAGGCAGGGCCCCUGGGUGACUUGCCCUCACUAAUGGAAUGUGAUUGAAAGUGACAUUUUACUUCUGGGUCAGGGUGGCUGGGUUCCUGAAUCACUUUGUGAAUUCAGGAUUCACCCACAAAGCAGGAAACAGUGCACUGAAAUUAUGUGAGUGAGAAAUGAACUUUUCUCGUGUUAAGCCAUUGACAUCUUGGGAUGUGAGUUACAGCACUUGAGGUUGUCCUAUGUAGUACGUGUAAAAUGUUUGUCUUAACGUGGGUUAUGGUCAGAAAAGUUUGAAAAAAGGACCUGAUCUAAUGUAACCCUUUCAUUUUCCGAUGGAGAAGCCAAGUGUCAGGAACUGGGAGGGGCUCCCCAUGUCUUCUGAAUGAGCUGGGACCAAACCCUGCCUAAGCAGGAGGAUGACUGCUGUGUGGCCUGGGUGGGCUUUGUGUACUGCUGGACAGGGCAGAGCUGACUGCUGGGCUGCUGACUCCUGGGACAGUGCUCCUCCCACACGCUCAGGGGCACGGAUCUGACAUUUACACUGUGCUUUGGGGCCUCUGCCCACAGCUGGGGACAGGAAGGGUGAACUCUGCCUGGCCUGCUGAACUAACUCUCACCUGGCUUCUGCUCAGGCUCUGUGGUUAACAUCUCUGCGGCGUACCAACAGACUUUCUCUGAAAAUCUAAGUUUCUCUGAAUCUCUGAGGUGGCAGGAUUCUGAGAAACCUGGCAGCGGCCUGGUCACCGCCAUGAGAGCACUAGCUGAAUUAUAAGCACAUAUGCCCAGGAACGACACCUCCAUUUUUAACACACAGUGAGUUCGGGCCCUGGUGCUGAUGCUGACACCGGCAGGUAGGAGCCUUCAGCCAUCACGUUCAUGCAUCCCACAGACUGGCAGAGCCUGUCACCCAGGUGCUGAGGCCACCCUGGAUCAGCGGGGGAGGGCACAAGGCUUGUGCUGUCCCCAUCACCUAGCCCCGUGACGUUAUGGUAAGAGUUAAUCAUGCAAGUGCUCAGUACCUGGGCACAGUACCUGACACUUCGCUGACCUGAUUGUAUUUGCAGCACCCCUGUCAUGUGGACAAGCUUGGCAUUCUCCCCAUCAUAUUACAGAUAAGGAAAUGGAGGCUCUCAGAGCUCACCUGUCAGACUCAAAGAACCUUCUUCACUGGCUGGACAUGGGCUGGAGCCCUGGCAUCUUGAAAAAGCAAUGCAUUGAAUAAGAAGGCUUUGCCUGUCUCCCGCGCUGGACCCCGAGCUCCCUGAAGACAGGGGUCUUGUCUAUCUUGUUCACUGUGCGUCUCCAGCUCCUAGAACACAUGUCAACUGGGACCGAAGGAUCCGCUUCCAAGACGGCUCACUCUAAGUCAGCCGCUGGCUGUUGGUUUCACACAGGCCUCUCCGCAGGGCUGCUUGGGUUUUCUUGCCGCGUGAUGACUGGGUUCUAAGAACACUCGCUCUUGGAACUGAGGCACCAUGCUGCAAGGAAGCCCAGGCCACGUGAAGAGGCCACUUUGGGGAUCCCCGCAGAUAGCCCAUGAUCCUGGCAUCAACUGUCAGGCGUCUAAGUGAGCCAAUUCAGAGGACCCCGGCCCCCAGCCUUCGAGUCUUCCAUCAGAGGCACCAGUGACAAACCAUCCUCACCACGUUCUGUCUGCAUUCCGGACCCACACGACCCAUGGGCAUGAUAAAUGGUUACUUAAUGCCAACUUUUGAGUGAUUUGUUGGGUAGCCAUAGUAACUGGCACAGAGGGCAAAGUGAAAUAUAACGAGACCUCCAGAAAGCAGUUCCACGGGCAGGAGGAGUCUGGUGGAAACUCACCAGAACGGUCCGGCCAUUGAAGCUGGCUUCCACCAGCUAUAAACUGGGGAGCAAGGGAAGGUGUUUUGGACAGUGAAAAGGGCAUAUGUGAGGCCUUGAGCCAGGAAGGGGCCUAGCAGGAAGAAGGUUAGUGGGCUAGCACACAGCCCUGUGGGGACAGGGUAGGUGGUACAAGGGGCCACCCUUCAUCCUGGGCACUUGGAGGAGAGCCCUGGGUCAGAUCCGCUUCCAGGUAAGGAGGGGGGACGGUAAGUCAGAGGAACAAGGCCCAGCGAGUGAGAACGAGGCCUCGAGGCCUCUGCUGUGCAGGUGCAUGGUUAAGAGGGCCUGCCCAAGCUGUGGGAUGGGAGGCUGUGCGGGAACCAGACCCUCCUGACCGGAUGGAUGCGAGGCUAGGACCAGAAGCUGAGGUGGCAGGAGGUGGGGAUCCCCAUGCUGAGGGACAAGGGGAAGGGCAGCGUACGAUGCUCUUCUUUCGACAGCAUGCCUUUGUUAGCUGUCCUUCCUCUGGGAAGAUCCCCUGGGGAUGUGACAUCUACUGCAGUCCCUUUCCCCCUUCAUUUACACCUUGUGACGAAACUCUUUAUCCCUCUGAGACAGACAGACACAGGAGAGUGUGGCUGCUUCCUCAACAAUGGCUGCCGUGAGCUCAGGCCUCAGGUGUCUGCUGGGGUCCCCCAGCUGGGUACGCUUUCUGGCCAGAACUGCUGCGAAAGCGUCAAGCCUACAUUACAGCACAUGCCUGGGGGAAACGCAUCCUGCUUGGUGGCUGUCUGUGCACCCUCCUCCCCGGACCCUAGCUCUUGGCGGGGACUUGCAGGGAAUAGAGUGUCCCUGCCUCGCCGCAGGAGGAGGAUGGCAGGCUGGGCCUAGGUCACUGGUCUCACCUCUGAACCUUCCGGAGCCUCUCCGGCCAGAGGACUUCCCUGGGCUCUCUCGGUACCGAAACCUUUUCUGGCGUUCCUGGCAGCCACGUGUCUCUUCCCUCCUUUCCCGGCAACCCGUGCAUCCUGGCGUCCAAGCAGCCUGAUGCUUUGAGGGUGUUGUGUGGAGCCUGCUGAAGGAACAAGUGGCCGAGGCCGAAUGCAUGCUCAGGGUCCACGCAUCUACCAUCUGUGCCUCCCGGGCCCUUCACCUUUCUGUGGGAAGGGUCCUUUCUCGCCACAGAUGCGCCUCCCAGAGUGCACAAAUUUCUUGUGACACACACACACCCUUAAGAGGUCAAGAAUGUGGCCUGACAGAGACAAGUUACAAAAUAAAAACAAAGCUGUCGGUGGUCCCCCUAAUGGUGCAUUUCGGGGAGGAGCUGGGGACUUGGUGGAGCAGUCCGAGGGUGCCUCGGCCCUGGGUGGGACUGGUGACUCCUCUGCACAGCUGUCUGUGAGGCCAGAGGACCCCCCUUGACCACCUGCAACCCGUUCCCACUUACCCAUCACCCUGGCUGCAGGGGAGGCAGGGACAAGGCUUCUGCCUGUAGAAGGGGUCCUGGGAGGAGGAUGUGUUGUUAGUGCGAUUCCCCGAUUCCCCGGGGCUGGCCCUGAGAGAAGAUUGAAGAGUGGCUUAAGUGGGAGGAGCAAAAUGCCAAGGAGGAGUGGGGAAGGGAGUCAGGAGGGGAAGGCACUCAGCACCUGGACUCAACCCUGCAGGGAAGCCUCCCUCCCCCGCCAGCCUGCACUCACCGCUCCUCAGCCAGAGCAGAGCCCCUCCCGGGAGAUGGGGCCCCAAAGCUCUCAGGCACAGAUGUAGGUAGUGCAGGAGGAUGAGCCAGCUGCCCGGAAGUGGUCUUCCCAGAGGAUACGGGUGAAGCCCCCAUCAUACCUGCCCCACAGGGUCCCUGCUCCCGGCGGCCAGCGAGGGAUGCCAGCGUGCGUGGCUGUCACUGGUCACCAUCACCAGCACGAGCCACCUGAGAAGUGUGCCGGACCCUCCAACUUUUUCAUGGCAGAACCUGUGGAUAAUAAAGUUGCUUGGGGGAAUGGGUUGUGACCCAUGGGAGGGAAAGUCCCUUGCUGGCUGGGCCUGGGACAGAGACCUAGGCCAGGGAUGGGCCCACGCACAAAUCCUGGCAGUGGCACAAAGGUAUCACUGGCCUCAUGGCUCUACCUAAGUUAAAAGGAUCCCCCUUACCUUUCCUAGUUUGUCAGUUAAGACUUGGGGGAGCCCUCCCCACUGUGGCCCUGCAUCAAACCCUGUGUUAGGUGGGCAUAAGUGAGGCUACCAGGGCAAACCUGGUGUGGAGGGGAGACAGUGCAGAGGGGAGGGCAAGCCGUUGGGGCCACACCCCUAAAUGACUUCUUGGAGCAGCGGGCCUAGCAGGGCCCAAAUUGGGGAAGAAGGGACUGGCACGGUUAGGCGUGAGCCCUAGGGAAGUGCCUCAUGCAGUGACAUGGGUGAGGCUGGGCUGGGGGCCCUGCUGGCCAUGUCCUGGACUGGUGUCCUGUGACUCAGGCCUGCUCAGCAUCUUGCCCUGGUCCCCCACCCAGAACAAGUCAAGCUACAUUCUCAGUUUCACAUUAGUCUUUUAUUAUAACUGUAUUUAAUGGGAUCACUUUGCCAAAAGGAGAAGUCAUUUCUUAAAUCAGUAUGAGUUACAGCGUAAAGAUGAAUGAGAACAAAGCAAUAGGAUAUAAAUGGCACAACAGGAUAUUCCAUAAGUCAAAUGAAUUGUGCCAUCAUGAGACAAAUUAUUAUGACAACUUUUACAUCAAAGUGGUCUCAAGCCUGUUUACAGGAACUUUAGAUUUCUUUUCAACACUAUAAAAAGAGAGCUUUUGAAAGUAACAUGGGGGGUGGGGUGGGGAAGCGGUUUUGGCCCGUGAGAAGGAAGCUCGGCUUGCCAGGUGCCGUCCUUAAUUCAUCCCGGCCUCCUCUCCCUGUCCCACGGCCCCCCAGAGCCCCUGUUCUGUACACAUGGGGGCGGGAACCGGUGUGCACCUGCAGGGGAGGGGGAUGGAAUGAUGGCAUGGCCUGGCCUCCACAGGACAGCCACUGGGAGGGCCUGCAUCGCCCCUCACCCUGCUCCCCGCAACACUGGUUCUGUAACAGCCCCCGGAGGCAACUUCUUAAGGAAACAAUAAAAUGAAAACAAAAAUAGUAAAUUUAAGUCACCUCUGGCAGAUUACCUAUCUUUAGGAGACAACGUAACUGCCACUGAGUUUU